UACGGGGGGGGCAAGCGUUGUUCGGAAUUACUGGGCGUAAAGGGCUCGUAGGCGGCCAACUAAGUCAGACGUGAAAUCCCUCGGCUUAACCGGGGAACUGCGUCUGAUACUGGAUGGCUUGAGUUUGGGAGAGGGAUGCGGAAUUCCAGGUGUAGCGGUGAAAUGCGUUGAUAUCGGAAGGAACGCCGGUGGCGAAAGCGACGUACUGGACCUCUUCUGACGCUGAGGAGCGAAAGCCAGGGGAGCAAACGGG
rnacentral:rRNA from 1 species